UUGGAUCCAGACUUUGAUCAUGGCUCAGGAUGAACGCUAGCUACAGGCUUAACACAUGCAAGUCGAGGGGAAACGACAUCGAAAGCUUACUUUUGAUGGGCGUCGACCGGCGCACGGGUGAGUAACGCGUAUCCAACCUGCCCACCACUUGGGGAUAACCUUGCGAAAGUAAGACUAAUACCCAAUGAUAUCCCACGAAGGCAUCCGAAUGGGAUUAAAGAUUUAUCGGUGAUGGAUGGGGAUGCGUCUGGUUAGCUCGUUGGCGGGGUAACGGCCCACCAAGGCUACGAUCAGUAGGGGUUCUGAGAGGAAGGUCCCCCACAUUGGAACUGAGACACGGUCCAAACUCCUACGGGAGGCAGCAGUGAGGAAUAUUGGUCAAUGGGCGAGAGCCUGAACCAGCCAAGUAGCGUGCAGGACGACGGCCCUAUGGGUUGUAAACUGCUUUUAUAAGGGAAUAAAGUGAGUCUCGUGAGACUUUUUGCAUGUACCUUAUGAAUAAGGACCGGCUAAUUCCGUGCCAGCAGCCGCGGUAAUACGGAAGGUCCGGGCGUUAUCCGGAUUUAUUGGGUUUAAAGGGAGCGUAGGCCGGAGAUUAAGCGUGUUGUGAAAUGUAGUGGCUCAACCUCUGCACUGCAGCGCGAACUGGUCUUCUUGAGUACGCACAACGUGGGCGGAAUUCGUGGUGUAGCGGUGAAAUGCUUAGAUAUCACGAAGAACUCCGAUUGCGAAGGCAGCUCACGGGAGCGCAACUGACGCUGAAGCUCGAAAGUGCGGGUAUCGAACAGGAUUAGAUACCCUGGUAGUCCGCACGGUAAACGAUGGAUGCCCGCUGUUGGCCUGAAUAGGUCAGCGGCCAAGCGAAAGCAUUAAGCAUCCCA
rnacentral:rRNA from 1 species